GUGUCAUUGAGCUACCUCACUUGUGGGUAGGUUCUUGCGGUGCCCAUUUGUUGGGCUAGGUUUAUGAAACACCUAUUAGCCGCCGAACCACCAAGUGUUGGUUGACACAAUGGGGACUAGCGUGGCGGCAAGCACGUGAACCUCGAGAGAAAAAUAUUGGUGUCAAUAUUGUGAUUGGUAUUCUCCUGAAUAUAUUGAUAUACAUUGUGAUUGGUUCAUCUCAACAUAUCGGUAUAAUUAUCACUCACCUCUUUACUUUCUUGUAAAUUAGUUGUAACUAGUAGUUCCUAGUUUUAGUUAGUUGUAACUAGUUGUAGAGAGUAGCGACAUAGCCAUUGCUUGUGCCUAGUGAUCAUACCAACUAGAAUUAUUAUAUAGGUGGCUUGCAACUCUUGUAGAGCUAGAGCAAAAUUGCUUUACAACUUUUGUUAUAUUGAUCCUUUGCUCUAGUGCUUUGUAGAAUUUUUAAAUAGUCUAUUCACCCUCCUCUAGCCAUAUUAGGACCUUUCAGUAUGGACGGAUAUGGCCACUUCUCCUACUCCAUUUGUACUUGAUCUUUAGUGUUUAAUUUAUUACAUUCAAAGAUUGACUUCUUCAAAAUUUUUACAUUGUGCAGAUUAGUGCCUUGGUUGUUCCCUAAACCUGAACCUUUUUUUCUCAAUGUUUCAUGGAUGUAAUUGUGCAGAUUAGUGUCUUGUUUGUUCCCCUAAAUCUGAGCCUUUUUCUCUGAAUGUUUCAUGGACGUAUUGUUUCUUGCCUUUUUUGACAAUUGAUAACUGUAUUCCAGGUGCUGUUGAAUGUUUCAUGGAGGCAUUAUUUCUGUCUAAAGCUUGGUCAUUAUCUCCAUUGACAAAAUCGACGGAAUACAUUUGAGCUGACUGGGAGAGGAUGGUGUCUGCAUCUAGGAUUAUAAGGCACAUGAAUUAGGCGGCCAGCUCCUAAUUGGCAAGAAAGGGACAUCAUGCUGGGUUGGAUAUGGCUUGGUUGAGUAGCAUUUGACACUCAUCCAAAUACAAGGUGGUGGAAUGUGCCAUUUUUUGUAAAAUGAAGGCGAUGUCAGUCCUGGCGAGCUCCAAAAUAAGAUUUGCCAAGAUCAGUGGGGUACAACACACGUGGUGUAUUCUGCACAUGACUUUUUAAAGUUUGUUGUAUUAUUUGUAUUGCCUCAGAAUGUUUCUGAAACCUGAAACAGGUUUGGUAAAAUGUUUAUUCUAUG